UCUACGGAGAGUUUGAUCCUGGCUCAGGACGAACGCUGGCGGCGUGCUUAACACAUGCAAGUCGAACGGUGAACUCCGCUUGCGGGGGGAUCAGUGGCGAACGGGUGAGUAACACGUGGGCAACCUGCCCUCAGCUCUGGGAUAACUCCAAGAAAUUGGGGCUAAUACCGGAUAUGACUGCUGACCGCAUGGUCUGGUGGUGGAAAGAUUUAUCGGCUGGGGAUGGGCCCGCGGCCUAUCAGCUUGUUGGUGGGGUAGUGGCCUACCAAGGCGACGACGGGUAGCCGGCCUGAGAGGGUGACCGGCCACACUGGGACUGAGACACGGCCCAGACUCCUACGGGAGGCAGCAGUGGGGAAUAUUGCGCAAUGGGCGGAAGCCUGACGCAGCGACGCCGCGUGGGGGAUGACGGCCUUCGGGUUGUAAACCUCUUUCA
rnacentral:rRNA from 1 species